rnacentral:rRNA from 1 species
UACGUAGGGUGCGAGCGUUGCCCGGAUUUAUUGGGCGUAAAGGGCGCGUAGGCGGCUCUGCACGUCCGUUGUGAAAUCGCCCGGCUCAACUGGGCGGGGUCAGCGGAUACGGCAGAGCUCGAGCAAGCUAGGGGGCAAUGGAAUUCCCGGUGUAGUGGUGGAAUGCGUAGAUAUCGGGAGGAACACCAGUGGCGAAGGCGGUUGCCUGGGGCUUUGCUGACGCUGAGGCGCGAAAGCGUGGGGAGCGAUCCGGAUUAGAUACCCGGGUAGUCCACGCCGUAAACGAUGUCGACUAGGUGUCGGGGGUAUCGACCCCCUCGGCGCCGCAGCUAACGCAUUAAGUCGACCGCCUGGGGACUACGGCCGCAAGGCUAAA